GGUCAGUGAUGAGAUGUAAAAGGUCCGAAGCCUUCGUCUCCUUCCAGUCCUUCUGUCCCUCCCAGCAGCCCCUCUUCAUUUUUCUCCAGCUUGCUCUAGUCGUGCAUUGCUGGUUUAAGGCGGCAGCUGAUAUUAUAGACACUUCUGCUAUAUAUUUUGAGUCUUUUAGAGAACAAGAAGACUUGAUAACAGCAGCGUCAAACAGAAACACAACACACAGGAGGGUUGGACUGAAGGAGAGUGUAUGACAGGCUAAUGAUCUCAAGUUUUCAAGCUGAGACC